GACGAACGCUGGCGGCGUGCUUAACACAUGCCAGUCGAACGGAAAGGCCUGCUUUCCCUUGUGGAUUGCGGGUACUCGAGUGGCGAACGGGUGAGUAACACGUGAGUGAUCUGCCCCCAACUUGGGUAUAAGCCUGGGAAACUGGGUCUAAUUCCCGAUAGGACUGCAGGGUGGUGCCUGUGGUGGAAAACGAUUUUCUAGUGGUUGGGGAUGAGCUCGCGGCCUAUCAGCUUGUUGGUGGGGUAAUGGCCUACCAAGGCGGCGACGGGUAGCCGGCCUGAGAGGGUGGACGGCCACAUUGGGACUGAGAUACGGCCCAGACUCCUACGGGAGGCAGCAGUGGGGAAUAUUGCACAAUGGGCGGAAGCCUGAUGCAGCGACGCCGCGGGGGGGAUGACGGCCUUCGGGUUGUAAACUCCUUUCGACCGCGAGGAAGCCACCUGGUUGGAAGGGUGGUGACGGUAGUGGUAGAAGAAGCACCGGCUAACUACGCG
rnacentral:rRNA from 1 species